CCUACGGGAGGCAGCAGUGGGGAAUAUUGCACAAUGGCGGAAACGCUGAUGCAGCGACGCCGCGUGAGUGAAGAAGUAAUUCGUUAUGUAAAGCCCUAUCAGCAGGGAAGCAAAUGACGGUACCUGAGUAAGAAGCCCCGGCUAAAUACGUGCCAGGAGCCGCGGUUAAACGUAGGGGGCAAGCGUUAUCCGGAUUUACUGGGUGUAAAGGGAGCGUAGACGGGAGGGCAAGUCUGGAGUGAAAGGCGGGGGCUCAACCCCCGGACUGCUCUGGAAACUGUACGGCUGGAGUGCAGGAGAGGUAAGUGGAAUGCGUGGUGUAGCGGUGAAAUGCGUAGAUAUUAGGCAGAACACCAGUGGCGAAGGCGGCUUACUGGACUGUAACUGACGUUGAGGCACGAAAGCGUGGGGAGCAAACAGGAUUAGAUACCCCGGUAGUC
rnacentral:rRNA from 1 species